rnacentral:hammerhead_ribozyme from 1 species
AUCCAGCUAACGAGUCCUAAAUAAGAUGAAAUGUGCAUCCUGGAU